AUUGAACGCUGGCGGCAGGCCUAACACAUGCAAGUCGAGCGGAUGAAGAGAGCUUGCUCUCUGAUUUAGCGGCGGACGGGUGAGUAAUGCCUAGGAAUCUGCCUGGUAGUGGGGGAUAACGUUCCGAAAGGAACGCUAAUACCGCAUACGUCCUACGGGAGAAAGCAGGGGACCUUCGGGCCUUGCGCUAUCAGAUGAGCCUAGGUCGGAUUAGCUAGUUGGUGAGGUAAUGGCUCACCAAGGCUACGAUCCGUAACUGGUCUGAGAGGAUGAUCAGUCACACGGGAACUGCGACACGUUCCAUACUCCUACGGGAGGCAGGAGUGGGGAAUAUUGGACAAUGGGCGAAAGCCUGAUCCAGCAAUGCCGCGUGUGUGAGGAAGGUCUUCGGAUUGUAAAGCACUUUAAGUUGGGAGGAAGGGCAGUAAGUUAAUACCUUGCUGUUUUGACGUUACCAACAGAAUAAGCACCGGCUAACUUCGUGCCAGCCGCCGCGGUAAUAC
rnacentral:rRNA from 1 species